rnacentral:rRNA from 1 species
AUUGAACGCUGGCGGCAUGCUUUACACAUGCAAGUCGAACGGCAGCGCGGGCUUCGGCCUGGCGGCGAGUGGCGAACGGGUGAGUAAUGCAUCGGAACGUGCCCAGUAGUGGGGGAUAGCCCGGCGAAAGCCGGAUUAAUACCGCAUACGACCUGCGGGUGAAAGCGGGGGACCGAAAGGCCUCGCGCUAUUGGAGCGGCCGACGUCGGAUUAGUUAGUUGGUGGGGUAAAGGCUUACCGAGGCGACGAUCCGUAGCUGGUCUGAGAGGACGACCAGCCACACUGGGACUGAGACGCGGCCCAGACUCCUACGGGAGGCAGCAGGGGGGAAUUUUGGACAAUGGGGGCAACCCUGAUCCAGCCAUGCCGCGUGCGGGAAGAAGGCCUUCGGGUUGUAAACCGCUUUUGUUCGGGAAGAAAUCCUCUGGGCUAAUACCCCGGGGGGAUAACGGUACCGGAAGAAUAAGCACCGGCUAACUACGU